GACGAACGCUGGCGGCGUGCUUAACACAUGCAAGUCGAACGGAAAGGCCCGGCUUUUGUGGGGUGCUCGAGUGGCGAACGGGUGAGUAACACGCGAGUAAACUGCCCUUGACUGUGGGAUAACAUCAGGAAAAUGGGGAUAUAAUCGCGUAGGAGCUCCUGCUGCACGGUGGGGGUUGGAAAGUUCCGGCGGUUGUGGAUGGACUAGCUGCUUAUGCGCUUGUUGGUGGGGUAGUGGCUGACCAAGGGUUUGACGGGUAGCCGGCCUGGGAGCGUGGACGGCGACAUUGGGACUGCGAUACGGCGCAGACGCCUACGGGCGGCAACAGUGGGGAACAUUGCGCAGUGGGGCGAAGCCUGAUGCGGCAACGCCGCGUGCGGGAUGAUGUGCUUCGGGUGAUGAACCGCUUUCGACUGUAACGUAGCGUUCGUGACGGUAACGGGUCAAGAAGCACCGGCUAACUACGUG
rnacentral:rRNA from 1 species